rnacentral:rRNA from 1 species
UAGGGAAUCUUCGGCAAUGGGGGCGAACCCUGACCGAGCAACGCCGCGUGAGUGAAGAAGGUUUUCGGAUCGUAAAGCUCUGUUGUAAGAGAAGAACGUGUGUGAGAGUGGAAAGUUCACACAGUGACGGUAACUUACCAGAAAGGGACGGCUAACUACGUGUCAG